AGGUCAUUUCAAUGAGGGAUUGGGGGACUGAAACCAAGAACUCUUAACACUGUGACCAAAUAUUGAAGUUCUCCAUAGGAUGUAAGCAUUACUCAACAGUGCCAUGGUUUCCUGAGGAGAUUGCAGU
ensembl:snoRNA